rnacentral:rRNA from 1 species
UACGGGGGGGGCAAGCGUUGUUCGGAAUUACUGGGCGUAAAGGGCUCGUAGGCGGCCAACUAAGUCGGACGUGAAAUCCCUCGGCUUAACCGGGGAACUGCGUCCGAUACUGGAUGGCUUGAGUACAGAAGAGGAAAGCGGAAUUCCACGUGUAGCGGUGAAAUGCGUAGAGAUGUGGAGGAACACCAGUGGCGAAGGCGGCUUUCUGGUCUGUAACUGACGCUGAGGCGCGAAAGCGUGGGGAGCAAACAGG